AACAAAAGAUCAAAAAGAUUAUCAUGGAGCGCAGUAAAGUCUAUAUAUUUUUGCCUUUGUGCAUGACCUGGAUUUUUCACUUGUGUUUCUUUUUCUUUUUUUCGACUAUCUUC
rnacentral:ribozyme from 14 species